rnacentral:rRNA from 1 species
UACGUAGGGUGCAAGCGUUAAUCGGAAUUACUGGGCGUAAAGCGUGCGCAGGCGGCUUUGCAAGACAGAUGUGAAAUCCCCGGGCUUAACCUGGGAACUGCAUUUGUGACUGCAAGGCUGGAGUGCGGCAGAGGGGGAUGGAAUUCCGCGUGUAGCAGUGAAAUGCGUAGAUAUGCGGAGGAACACCGAUGGCGAAGGCAAUCCCCUGGGCCUGCACUGACGCUCAUGCACGAAAGCGUGGGGAGCAACCGGG